UUUAGGCUAUUGGUUGCCUGCCUUGCCGCUGAGCUUGGUGGGUGGCUCUUAGUCGCGUGAUCUCGGGGACGUCUACCGUAAAGGUGCAUGAGUGGUGUUUGGUUUGUUACGGGUGGUUGGCUCUUUGCUUGCGCAACAACUUCCACCUGGCAUACCUCUUCAGUUUUGUUUCAGUGCUUGUAUCGCAUUGGACGCAUCGGGGGUUUCAUGUGUUGCCUGCCUAAUUGAUGGUAUCGUUUGAUUGAUUGACGCGCAUAUUCGUCUUGGGUCGCGCAUGCGAUGCGAGAUGAACCUCAAAGUUCCCUCUGUGAUCCACUCCAUCAAUUGCUCACGCGUUGUUGUGGUGGCUCACUACGGGUUGCUUGGUCUCAUCGGUAUGGAACGUUGUUUGGGCAUGAGAUAUUAUUUUAGUAGCUCAUCGUUUGCCCUGUUUAAGCUUUUCAAAUACGAUUUCCUAGCACGUCUUAACGUGAUAGGCUACAUCGAACAUGAAUG
rnacentral:misc_RNA from 1 species